CCUACGGGUGGCUGCAGUAGGGAAUAUUGCGCAAUGGGGGAAACCCUGACGCAGCGACGCCGCGUGAGUGAUGAAGGCCUUCGGGUCGUAAAGCUCUGUCGUAUGGGACUAACAAAAUGAAGGUACCAUGCAAGAAAGGAUCGGCUAACUUCGUGCCAGCAGCCGCGGUAAGACGAGGGAUCCUAGCGUUGUUCGGAAUCAUUGGGCGUAAAGCGGGUGUAGGCGGGCCUAUAAGUCAGGUGUGAAAUCCCAGGGCUCAACCCUGGAAGUGCACUUGAGACUGUAAGUCUUGAAUGUGGUAGAGGUUACUGGAAUUGCUGGUGUAGUGGUGAAAUACGUAGAUAUCAGCAGGAACACCGGUGGCGAAGGCGGGUAACUGGACCAACAUUGACGCUGAGAUCCGAAAGCGUGGGGAUCAAACAGGAUUAGAUACCCCUGUAGUC
rnacentral:rRNA from 1 species